rnacentral:rRNA from 1 species
CCUACGGGUGGCAGCAGUGGGGAAUAUUGCACAAUGGGGGAACCCCUGAUGCAGCAACGCCCCGUGGGUGAGGAAGUUUUUCGGAUGGUAAAGCCCUGUUAGCAGGGAAGAGGAAGACCGGUACCUGCAGAGAAGCCCACGGCUAACUACGUGCAAGCAGCGGCGGUAAUACGUAGGUGGCAAGAGUUGUUCGGAAUAACUGGGCGUAAAGGAUGCGUAGGCGGUGAAACAAGUUAUAUGUUAAAUAUAUAGGCCUAACCUGUAGAAACCAUAUAAAACUGUUUAACUAGAGUGCAGGAGAGGUAAGUGGAAUUCCUAGUGUAGCGGUGAAAUGCGUAGAGAUUAGGAAGAACACCAGUGGCGAAGGCGACUUACUGGACUGUAACUGACGCUGAGGCAUGAGAGCAUGGGGAGCAAACAGGAUUAGAUACCCCAGUAGUC